UACGUAGGUGGCAAGCGUUGUCCGGAUUUACUGGGCGUAAAGGGUGCGUAGGCGGAUAUUUAAGUCAGAUGUGAAAUUCCCGAGCUUAACUUGGGAGCUGCAUUUGAAACUGGGUAUCUAGAGUGUGGGAGAGGAAAGUGGAAUUCCUAGUGUAGCGGUGAAAUGCGUAGAGAUUAGGAAGAACCCCAGUGGCGAAGGCGACUUUCUGGACCAUAACUGACGCUGAGGCAUGAAAGCGUGGGGAGCAAACAGG
rnacentral:rRNA from 1 species